CAGUUCGUCUCGCCCUAGGUUGCAUCAUAUUAUCUACCUUACGACUUUUCCGGCUUCAGGUCAGAGAUAAGUUUGGACAUCAAGUGGAAGCGUUCUUUGUAAUACUGACUGCACUUCAGUUUCACUUGCUGUUCUAUUGUACUCGUCCACUGCCAAAUAUACUAGCUUUGGGUGUAGUUAACUUGGCAUAUGCAUUUUGGCUCAAGGGGAAGGUUUAUGCGGCUUUAAAUUGUCUG